rnacentral:rRNA from 1 species
CCUACGGGCGGCAGCAGUGAGGAAUAUUGGUCAAUGGGCGCGAGCCUGAACCAGCCAAGUAGCGUGAAGGAUGACUGCCCUACGGGUUGUAAACUUCUUUUAUAAAGGAAUAAAGUGAGGCACGUGUGCCUUUUUGUAUGUACUUUAUGAAUAAGGAUCGGCUAACUCCGUGCCAGCAGCCGCGGUAAUACGGAGGAUCCGAGCGUUAUCCGGAUUUAUUGGGUUUAAAGGGAGCGUAGAUGGGUUGUUAAGUCAGUUGUGAAAGUUUGCGGCUCAACCGUAAAAUUGCAAUUGAUACUGGCAGCCUUGAGUACAGGUGAGGUAGGCGGAAUUCGUGGUGUAGCGGUGAAAUGCUUAGAUAUCACGAAGAACCCCGAUCGCGAAGGCAGCUUACUAAACUGUGACUGACAUUGAUGCUCGAAAGUGUGGGUAUCAAACAGGAUUAGAUACCCGUGUAGUC